rnacentral:rRNA from 1 species
UACGGAGGGUGCGAGCGUUGUCCGGAAUCACUGGGCGUAAAGCGCGCGCAGGCGGUUCUGUAAGUCGGACGUGAAAGCCCGGGGCUCAACCUCGGAAGUGCGUCUGAUACUGCAGGACUGGAGUACUGGAGAGGAGAGCGGAAUUCCCGGUGUAGAGGUGAAAUGCGCAGAUAUCAGGAGGAACACCAAUGGCGAAGGCAGCACUCUGGGACGGUACUGACGGCUGAGACGCGAAAGCGUGGGGAGCAAACAGG